UACGAAGGCAGCAGUGGGGAAUAUUGCACAAUGGGCGAAAGCCUGAUGCAGCUAUGCCGCGUGUAUGAAGAAGGCCUUAGGGUUGUAAAGUACUUUCAUCGGGGAGGAAAAAACAAAACUAAUAAUUUUAUUUCUUGACGUUACCCGAAAAAGAAGCACCGGCUAACUCCGUGCCAGCAGCCGCGGUAAUACGGAGGGUGCUAGCGUUAAUCAGAAUUACUGGGCGUAAAGAGCACGUAGGUGGUUUUUUUAAAGUCAGAUGUGAAAUCCCUGGGCUUAACCUAGGAACUGCAUUUUGAAACUGAAAUACUAGAGUAUCGUAGAGGGAGGUAGAAUUCUAGGUGUAGCGGUGAAAUGCGUAGAUAUCUGGAGGAAUACCUGUGGCGAAAGCGGCCUCCUAAACGAAUACUGACACUGAGGUGCGAAAGCGUGGGGAGCAAACAGGGAUUAGAUACC
rnacentral:rRNA from 1 species